rnacentral:rRNA from 1 species
UACGUAGGGUGCGAGCGUUGUCCGGAAUUAUUGGCGUAAAGAGCUCGUAGGCGGUUUGUCGCGUCUGCCGUGAAAGUCCGGGGCUCAACUCCGGAUCUGCGGUGGGUACGGGCAGACUAGAGUGAUGUAGGGGAGACUGGAAUUCCUGGUGUAGCGGUGAAAUGCGCAGAUAUCAGGAGGAACACCGAUGGCGAAGGCAGGUCUCUGGGCCGAUACUGACGCUGGAGGAGCGAAAGCGUGGGGAGCGAACAGG